rnacentral:lncRNA from 1 species
UUAUGGAAUCGUCGGAAUCGUAGGAAAGUUUUACGGAAUCGUCGGUUUAGGGUUUUACGGAAUCGUCGGAAUCGUCGGAAUCGUCGGAGUCACCUCGUUUAUACAAUCAUAGGACUUUGCGAUCUCCAUCGAUGAAACGGUAAGAAUAAAGUCUAAGGGUAAAAAUAGGAACUACAACAAUAUGGAUAUACAACAAUAUGAUAAGGCUCUAAAAUAGGAUAUACAACAAUAUGGAUAUAUGAUAUACAACAAUAAUAUGGAUAUACGAAAAUAGGAUAUAUGAUACAACAAUAU